AGUGAACGCUGGCGGUAGGCCUAACACAUGCAAGUCGAACGGCAGCACAGUAAGAGCUUGCUCUUACGGGUGGCGAGUGGCGGACGGGUGAGGAAUACAUCGGAAUCUACUUUUUCGUGGGGGAUAACGUAGGGAAACUUACGCUAAUACCGCAUACGACCUACGGGUAAAAGCAGGGGAUCUUCGGCCCUUGCCCGAUUGAAUGAGACGAUGUCGGCUUAGUCAGUUGACGGGGUAAAGGCCCACCAAGGCGACGAUCCGUAGCUGGUCUGAGAGGUUGAUCCGCCACACUGUAACUAAGACACGUGCCAGGCUGCUACUGGAGGCAGCAGUGUGGAAUAUAGGACGAUACGCGCAAGCCUGAUCCAGCCAUACCGCGUGCAUGAAGAAGGCCUUCGGGUUGUAAAGCCCUUUUGUUGGAAAAGAAAAGCAGCAUAUUAAUACCCCGCUGUUCUGACGGUACCCAAAGAAUAAGCACCGGCUAACUUCGUG
rnacentral:rRNA from 1 species